AGGCAGCACACCACACUAAAUGUAGCCACAGUUUCGAAAGGCCAGGGAGGAUUUCUUUGAAAGUGUAAAUAUUCUGGAGUUAAAUGACUAUUUGAGUUCAAAAUGCAUUUUCAGCAUCAGAUUUGGUUUUGUAACAUCUAAUAUGAACUCUGGCAAAUUCGAAAAUAGGGCUAGUAAUAAAUUGUUCAGGCAGAUAUUGUCCAGAACACCGUUUUACUGCAUACAGUGCAUUUCAACUGCAGGCUCGGAAGAAUCAAGACAUUUUUCAAGGGGGUACAUACUUUCAUCAGUAGCAAAAAAUCUGCAAGGCCAAGCACCUGUUUCUUUGUGAUAUUUUGCAUGUAUAGGGAUUUGCCAAGAGAGAAACAGUGUUUCUAUAGCUGCUAUAUUUGCAGGUUUUCUACUUUCACAGGAGGAAGCGUUUACAUUUUGUGUGUGGUCAGGGACGGCAGAAAUAGGAAAUUUAGUGUGGAGUGCUACC